rnacentral:rRNA from 1 species
CGCCGGGUAGCUAAGUGUGGACGGGAUAACCGCUGAAAGCAUCUAAGCGGGAAACCCACCUCAAAACUAGAUCUCCCUGAGAGCCGUGAUAGACCAUCACGUUGAUAGGCCAGGUGUGGAAGCGCAGUAAUGCGUGCAGCUAACUGGUCCUAAUCGCUCUAUAGGCUCACUCUC